UCUGUGCAGUCUAUAAACUUGGUAGACACAAGCCCAGUGAAGAAACAAUGAGUCGGAUAUUGUUUUUUUUCAGUGGGCAUGGCUAAAUUGAUUUGAUUUAAAGUUAAGCCACCACACAGCAUGUUAAACCUAGAACUAUGGAAGUUCUUAGGCAUAUGUUCCAUGGACCUACAAAAAACUAUCUUGGACCCAUAUCGCGAACUGAGCAACAGUGUGAAAGCCUUGGCUUUAGAGGUGCGCGGGGGCAGCUGAAGCCCGACCAAAGGUGUCUUUCCUUGCACCGAGGGAGACAAAGAUGCGCACCCACACAGUUGCAUUGUGAAGCAGAGCACUGUGUAAUUUCUAUCAUUCAGUGCUUUUUUUCCCCCUCAAUCCAUCCCUUGGCCUGUGCCCCUCCCACGCACUGGUAGGAAAUGUAGCCUUAAAGCGCCACCACCCACAACAGAAGCAGAGAGAUCACAGUCAGCCACAGAAACAUCCCCCAUACAAUGUUUCCAAUCCCCUCACUUUCAUGUACAUGCAUCUGAAUUUGAGUGUGAUGCACAGCGACAUGUUUCAUGUCAGUGUCGUUGCAAAUCCCAAUACCCCAAAGCCUUGAGGUAUGGAGAUGAUACACUAUUAUUAAGCAAUCUUAUAUCCACACACAGGCAGAAGUAUACACACGCCACAAUGCAUGUAUUCAUGCUACUUUGUAGAGAAGGAUACAAGAGUUAAUGUCGCACUCGACAGGCCCAUGGCUCUUCCUUUCAAGACGUCUUGCAGAAUGUUGCUGAAGGGCCACAAUGGGUUACGAAACAAAGAUGCAUGACUAUUUACAAAGGCUGUGUAACAGCUCCACUUCACUGAAAGAACGCACUGCUCUGCUUGGUGGAGUUUGGAUUACAAUCCCAUGUGAUGUAUGAUU